UAUUGCGCAAUGGGCGAAAGCCUGACGCAGCGACGCCGCGUGGGGGAUGAAGGUCUUCGGAUUGUAAACCCCUUCCGGGAGGGAAGAUGGAAUGGGGUAACUCAUUCUGACGGUACCUCCAGAAGCAGCCACGGCUAACUUCGUGCCAGCAGCCGCGGUAAUACGAAGGUGGCAAGCGUUAUUCGGAUUUACUGGGCGUACAGGGAGCGUAGGCGGUUUGGUAAGCCCUCUGUGAAAUCUCCAGGCUUAACCUGGAAAAGUCGGAGGGGACUGCUGGGCUAGAGGACGGGAGAGGAGCGCGGAAUUCCCGGUGUAGCGGUGAAAUGCGUAGAGAUCGGGAGGAAGGCCGGUGGCGAAGGCGGCGCUCUGGAACGUUCUGACGCUGAGGCCGA
rnacentral:rRNA from 1 species